rnacentral:rRNA from 1 species
GACGUAGGGCGCGAGGCGUUGUCCGGAUUUAUUGGGCGUAAAGAGCUCGUAGGCGGCUUGUUGCGUCGGCUGUGAAAGUCCCAUGGCUCAACUGUGGGCUUGCAGGCCGAUACGGGCGGGCUAGAGUUCGGGUAGGGGAGACUGGAAUUCCUGGUGUAGCGGUAGAAAUGCGCAGAUAUCAGGAGGAACACCGGUGGCGAAGGCGGGUCUCUGGGCCGAUACUGACGUGAGGAGCGAAAGCGUGGGGAGCGAACAGG